UCCCCCCCUUCCCUUCAGUUAACUACUUGUGUAACGCUGCAAGGGAAAAAAAAAUGUCUAUGAUAGUGAUGUUUAACUUGCUACCAUUCAACUAUCGCAGAACGACAGCCGGCACCAUCCACUGGACCAGAUUCGGACUGUGCCAUCAGAGCCUCCAGAGAUCAGGUAAUCCCAAUUGUGAUUGAAGGUUACACACUGAGUGAACAUCAUCCUCGUGUCUGUCCAGGCUCUCCAGCUGAGAGGACCAACAGCUUGACUGAGCCGUCAUUGCUAGCCAGGGAAACCAACUGACCUGCAGAAAAAAGGAAAUCGGAGAGGACAAAUAAUCUAAAAGAUCAAUUGUUGUCUUUAGAACAAAGUAUGGACAACUUGGCAUUUAUACCGGAGACAUUUGAAAUAACCUACAAAGAAAUCUAAUAUUCUAGAAUUUUUGUGGCGACAUAUGUGCUAGACUUUCACCGUGUGGUUUAUUUUUCCACAAACACCACAGUUUGUUGUGCUGAAAAAAUGCAGAUGUUAUAAUUAUUUGCCACUUGCCUUCCAUAUCAACCAAUGGGCAACAUAUUUGGAAGAAAUUGGCAACAGGAAAGCCUUGUUUUUUUAAGAAGAACAGUUCUAGCACAUUGGAGAGGAGCUUCUCUUACAAGACUGAUCAAUGUUUAUGCUAGUGCAGAUAUAAAAACACAACCAUACUAUCAUUUUGUAUCAGUGACACAAAAUGAUGCAUGUUCACUUUUCACUACUGAGGAUCUUUUUCAAAUUAUACAUGUUCUAAUACAAUGUUUGAUGGUGUAUAGACAACAGAAGUACCUACAGUAUGUACUUGAGCCAGAACUGGGAAUUCCUGAAGAUGUUGUUCACUUCAAAAUAAAUAAUACAGAAGGGCUUUUGGGAGGAAAUAGGAAAACAUUAUGGAAACACUUCAUCAAACAAUGGAAUAAUCACAAUAAACUUCAAACUAUAAAAAACUAUAAAACUUGGGGAACCCAAGGUUUAUAUUUAUACAUUCAUCUAUAAAUAUAUUUAUUACAAAAAUGUAAAUGGAGAUAAGGUGCUGUAUCUCUUUAAAGUGAAUGUAAACCUUCCAAAGAGGCAAUUACAACAGAAGUACAGAUAGAAUAGGUAUCAUCCCUACUACCUCAACUACUACCUGGUUGUUUUCUGACAAUACUGUGUCAUUUUUAUUUUAUGGAGCUAUUGCUUUGUCAUCCAAUAAACUGUAGAAUCACUUCUAUCAAAAAUCUGUGUCUUUUCAUCAGUUGCUGAACUAUGGCUCCUAUUACCUCAAUAUAACAAAGAGCUGAUGGGUGAUUCUGGUAGUUAUAUUCAGCUACAGCUGAAAAGCCAGAGGUUUCUGAUCCUUGCUCUGUGGAGAAGCAUGACCAUUCUCCUUGUAGCAGGUAAAUUGCCUGUGUUGCUUGCUAGUGCUUAGUCUAUAUUUGCCUUAAAUUCAACAGAGCUGAAUCUCCCCUUAAAUAUUACAAAUACCAAUUUGUCAUUCCAUCACCUUACACAUACUGUAAAGAAGGAACUAAUAAAAUGAUGCAUUAAGCCUGAUCUUCACAUUGCAUCGUACAGCACUAUGUUAUUGUCAAUGUUAAUGUCUAGAGAUCAGUCCCUAACAAGAAAUUAUGUUGCACGUGUCCUUGUUUUACAUGUUUAACAAUACAUGGAACCAAAUUCCCUAGAGCAGAUGGGAGACAAUGUGUUUCAUUCAUUAUUCAAAUAGCAACAAACAUACUACGUGCGGCUGUAGCCUUCUUAAAUGUGAGUGCUAUUGACCAGCCAAGGAAUGUGAUAAGCGUAAUCAGCUUGCCAGUACCUAAGCCAAUCAUUAUAAAAAUUACACAAACAGAUUUUUUCUCCAAGCAAACUCUCAAACCACACAAAGUCCACAAUCCACUGAGGUUACCUUUCAUUGUAUGAAAACUCACAGAAGGUUUUGGAUGAAAUAAACAUAAGUUUCUUUCCUAUACAUAAACUGCACAUUUUCUAGAUUACUGAAUUGAAAAUGAGAUCUCUCUGGUUUGGAAAGCCAAGCAAUGC